UCUCAUUGGUCAGCCGCAAGACUUGAUGCUUGCGCGAUAUCUAUAAAAGAUCAAUGUGGCAGUAUCAAGUUUCAGACUAGUAAUAGCCUCCUUCUACUUGUAACAGAAACUGGGAACUGGUGAACUAUGCCUGGACAUAUUAAGAAAACAUCUGGACCCGACCCAGAUCCAUCCCCAUGGCUUCUUGUCAAUGAUGAACUUAAGUUAAA